GCCUCAGUGGCGGAACUGGUAGACGCAAGGGAUUGGCACUCCCUGGGACUGUUGCAGAUCAUCCUCUGCAUGCCGUGCGGGUUCGACUCCCGCCUGGGGCACCA
rnacentral:tRNA from 1 species